rnacentral:rRNA from 1 species
UACGAAGGGGGCUAGCGUUGCUCGGAUUGACUGGGCGUAAAGGGCGCGUAGGCGGAUAGUACAGUCAGGCGUGAAAUUCCUGGGCUCAACCUGGGGGCUGCGUUUGAUACGUAUUGUCUGGAGUUCGGAAGAGGGUCGUGGAAUUCCCAGUGUAGAGGUGAAAUUCGUAGAUAUCAGGAGGAACACCCAUGGCGAAGGCAGCAAACUGGUCAUCAACUGACGCUGAGGCGCGAAAGCGUGGGUAGCAAACAGG